GACGAACGCUGGCGGCGUGCCUAAUACAUGCAAGUCGAGCGGACGGAUGGGAGCUUGCUCCCAGACCGUCAGCGGCGGACGGGUGAGUAACACGUGGGCAACCUGCCUGUAAGACUGGGAUAACUCCGGGAAACCGGGGCUAAUACCGGAUAACUCUUUCCCUCACAUGAGGGAAAGCUGAAAGAUGGCAUCUCGCUAUCACUUACAGAUGGGCCCGCGGCGCAUUAGCUAGUUGGUGAGGUAACGGCUCACCAAGGCGACGAUGCGUAGCCGACCUGAGAGGGUGAUCGGCCAGACUGGGACUGAGACACAGCCCAGACUCCUACGGGAGGCAGCAGUAGGGAAUCUUCCGCAAUGGACGAAAGUCUGACGGAGCAACGCCGCGUGAGUGAUGAAGGUUUUCGGAUCGUAAAACUCUGUUGUCAGGGAAGAACAAGUACCGGAGUAACUGCCGGUACCUUGACGGUACCUGACCAGAAAGCCACGGCUAACUACGUG
rnacentral:rRNA from 1 species